rnacentral:rRNA from 1 species
UACACGACCGUACCGCAAACCGACACUGGUGCGCGAGAUGAGUAUUCUAAGGCGCUUGAGAGAACUCAGGAGAAGGAACUCGGCAAAUUGACACCGUAACUUCGGAAGAAGGUGUGCCUUUAGUCAGUGAACCAUUUACUUGGGGAGCUAAACGAGGCUGCAAAAAAUCGGUGGCUGCAACUGUUUAUUAAAAACACAGCACUCUGCUAAGACGAAAGUCGACGUAUAGGGUGUGACGCGUGCCCGGUGCUGGAAGAUUAAAUGAUGGGGUGCAAGCUCUUGAUUGAAGUCCCAGUAAACGGCGGCCGUAACAAUAACGGUCCUAAGGUAGCGAAAUUCCUUGUCGGGUAAGUUCCGACCUGCACGAAUGGCGUAAUGAUGGCCACACUGUCUCCUCCUGAGACUCAGCGAAGUUGAAGUGUUUGUGAUGAUGCAAUCUCCCCGCGGAAAGACGGAAAGACCCCAUGAACCUUUACUGUAGCUUUGUAUUGGACUUUGAACAGAUCUGUGUAGGAUAGGUGGGAGGCUUUGAAGCCAGGACGCUAGUUCUGGUGGAGCCAACGUUGAAAUACCACCCUGGUGUGUUUGAGGUUCUAACCUAGGUCCAUUAUCUGGAUCGGGGACAGUGCAUGGUAGGCAGUUUGACUGGGGCGGUCUCCUCCCAAAGUGUAACGGAGGAGUUCGAAGGUACGCUAGUUACGGUCGGACAUCGUGACGAUAGUGCAAUGGCAUAAGCGUGCUUAACUGCGAGACUGACAAGUCGAGCAGAUGCGAAAGCAGGACAUAGUGAUCCGGUGGUUCUGUAUGGAAGGGCCAUCGCUCAACGGAUAAAAGGUACUCUGGGGAUAACAGGCUGAUACCGCCCAAGAGUUCAUAUCGACGGCGGUGUUUGGCACCUCGAUGUCGGCUCAUCUCAUCCUGGGGCUGUAGCCGGUCCCAAGGGUAUGGCUGUUCGCCAUUUAAAGAGGUACGUGAGCUGGGUUUAAAACGUCGUGAGACAGUUUGGUCCCUAUCUUCCGUGGGCGCUGCAGAUUUGAGGAAGCCUGCUCCUAGUACGAGAGGACCGGAGUGGACGAACCUCUGGUGUACCGGUUGUCACGCCAGUGGCAUUGCCGGGUAGCUAAGUUCGGAAGAGAUAACCGCUGAAAGCAUCUAAGCGGGAAACUCGUUUCAAGAUGAGAUCUGCCGGGGCCUUGAGCCCCCUGAAGAGUCGUUCAAGACCAGGACGUUGAUAGGUCAGGUGUGGAAGCGCAGUAAUGCGUUAAGCUAACUGAUACUAAUUGCUCGUGCGGCUUGAUC